rnacentral:tRNA from 1 species
UGGGGUGUGGUCGUAAUUGGUAACGGGUCUGACUCUAAAUCAGAAAUUCCCAGUUCAAAUCUGGGCGCCCUAA